rnacentral:lncRNA from 1 species
UAACUCCAAGUAUAUUGAAAGAUACAGGGAGUUGAAUUUUGAGGAUCAUGAUUUGAGUUGCUUCGAUUUGACCUCAAAGCAACUUAAUCUUGUUGCCUACAUUGGUAGGACUUCAGACAAUAAAAAACAAAUAAGAAUUAUGGAGAAUUGAGUGAGAAUCGAAGAGAUGAAAAAUUCAGAAAUUCACCUUCACUGCAGGUUG